rnacentral:sRNA from 1 species
GCUGGGCGCAGUGGCGCAUGCCUGUAAAUCCCAGCAGCUCAGGAAGCUGAGGCAGGAGGAUUUCGAGUUCAAAGCCAGCCUCAGCAAAAGCAAGGCGCUCAGCAACUCGGUGAGACCCUGUCUCUA